GCUGUCGUGUGAUGUGGCACAGCAGGAGCCUUAAGGCCAAACCGGGAGCUGCGGAGCCAGUCACCCAUUUGCCGGGAGCGUGAAGAGAGAAGGCCUGGGGACGCCCCAAACCCCUUCUGCCCAUCGCAAGCGCCACUACUGCCAUGGGCCUCACCAUCUCUUCUCUCUUCUCCCGCCUCUUUGGCAAGAAGAAGAUGCGCAUUUUGAUGGUUGGAUUGGAUGCUGCUGGCAAGACAACAAUUCUCUAUAAACUGAAGUUGGGGGAGAUAGUUACCACCAUUCCUACCAUUGAUUUUAAUGUGGAAACAGUAGAAUAUAAGAACAUUUGUUUCGCGGUAGGGGAUGUUGGUGAUCAAGAUAAAAUUAGGCCUCUCUGGCGGCAUUACUUCCAGAAUACCCAGGGUCUUAUUUUUGUGGUAGAUAGCAAUGAUCAUGAAAGAAUUCAGGAAGGAGCAGAAGAGCUGCAGAAAAUGCUUCAGGAAGAUGAAGUGAAAGAUGCAAUGCUGCUGCUUUUUGCAAACAAACAGGAUUUGCCAAAUGCCAUGGCCAUCAGUGAAAUGACAGAUGAAUUAGGUCUUUGGUCUCUUCGUAACAGAACAUGGUAUGUUCAAGCCACUUGUGCUACACAAGGAACUAGUCUGUAUGAGGGAUUUGACUGGCUGUCAAAUGAGCUUUCAAAACGUUAAAUGAAACUGGAUAUCCAACCAAGGACAUGUUUGAUAGAAUUGGUCUAGGCUUGUUACAACAAAAGUAGUUGGCAUCUUAGCUAUUAAACAGUAUCUGGGACUGGUU